AUGGAGGCGAGCGGCACGGCUGAGGCUCCCCGGCCACCGCACGUGGCGAUGCUGGUGACGCCCGGGAUGGGCCACCUGGUCCCGCUCGCGGAGCUUGCCAAGCGCCUGGCCGCGCGGCACGGCGUCACGGCCACGCUCAUCACCUUCGCGUCCACGGCGUCGGCUACGCAGCGGUCCUUCCUCGCCUCCCUCUCGGCCGCCAUCUCCUCCAUGUCCCUUCCGCCCGUCGACCUCUCCGACCUGCCACCCGGCGCCACCAUCGAGACGCUCAUGUCCGAGGAGUGCGCCCGCUUGGUGCCGGCGCUGACGGGAGUUCUGUCGGGUCUCAGGGAGACGACGCGGCUGGUGGCUUACGUGGCCGACCUCUUCGGGGCGGACUCGUUCGACGCUGCCGUGGCCGCCGGCGUGCCCAGAAGGUACCUGUUCCAUCCGGGGAACCUGCAUGGGCUAACGUUCAUCCUCCACCUCCCGGAGAUCGAUGUUUCCAUGCCCGGUGAGUUCCGGGACCUCGCCGAGCCCGUCAGGCUGCCCGGCUGCGUUCCCAUCCCAGGGCCGGACGUCAUGUCGUCGUUCCAGGACAAGUCUGACCCCUGCUACCGGUGGAUGGUGCACCACGCCAAGCGCUACCUAGAAUCCGAGGCCAUCCUGGUGAACUCCUUCGACGCCGUCGAGCCGGAGGCCGCCAGGGUGCUCUCUCACCCAGAGCCCGGGCGCCCUCCAGUGUACAACAUCGGUCCACUCAUACGGGCCGACGCCGGCGAGGAGCCGCGCGCUGCGUGCCUGGACUGGCUCGACCGGCAGCCGCACAAGUCCGUCAUCUUCGUCUCGUUUGGCUCCGGAGGCUCGCUGCCGACGGAGGAAAUGCACGAGCUGGCGCUCGGGCUGGAGCUCAGCGGGCAGCGCUUCCUGUGGGUGGUGCGGAGCCCGAGCGACGAGGGGUCCGUGAACGCCAAUUACUACGACGCCGAGAGCAAGAAGGACCCACUGGCCUACCUCCCGGACGUCGGCCUCCUGGUGCCGUCGUGGGUGCCGCAGACGGAGGUGCUCGCUCACGAGGCCACGGGAGGCUUCUUGGUGCACUGUGGGUGGAACUCGGUCCUGGAGAGCCUGGUGCACGGCGUGCCCAUGGUCGCGUGGCCGCUCUUCGCCGAGCAGCGGCAGAACGCCGUGAUGCUUUCAGAGGGUGUCAAGGCCGCCAUGCGAGUGCCGGCGACGAAGAGGAAGGAGGAGAUCGCUGCGGCAGUGAGGGAAGUGAUGGCAGGCCAAGGCAAAGGCGCCCAGGUGAGAGCUAAUGUGGCCGCGCUGCAGAAGGCGGCCAUGGAAGCUCUUCUUGAGGGCGGUGCCGCCACGACCGCGCUGGAUGAGGUGGUGCGCAAGUGGACACGCGAGUAUUGCUAG
rnacentral:rRNA from 1 species